rnacentral:rRNA from 1 species
CGUGUCCGGCCAUACCACCCUGAACACACUGGAUCUCAUCUCGUUUAGGAAGCUAAGUAGAGUCAGGCCUGGUUAGUACUUGGAAGAUAGAGAUCCAGGCACAAACAUGA